AACGAACGCUGGCGGCAGGCUUAACACAUGCAAGUCGAACGGGUGUAGCAAUACAUCAGUGGCAGACGGGUGAGUAACACGUGGGAACCUUCCUAGGGGUACGGAACAACUCAGGGAAACUUGAGCUAAUACCGUAUACGUCCGUGAGGAGAAAGAUUUAUCGCCCUUAGACGGGCCCGCGUCGGAUUAGGUAGUUGGUGGGGUAACGGCCUACCAAGCCGACGAUCCGUAGCUGAUCUUCGAGGAUGAUCAGCCACACUGGGACUGAGACACGGCCACGACGCCGACGGGAGGAAGGAGUGGGGAAUCUGGGACAAUGGGCGCAAGGCUGUUCCAGCCAUGCCGCGUGGGGGAAGAAGGCCUUAGGGUUGUAAAGCUCUUUUGGCAGGGACGAUAAUGACGGUACCUGCAGAAUAAGCACAGGCAAACUUCGUGCCAGCAGCCGCCGUAAGAC
rnacentral:rRNA from 1 species